UUAAAUUGAAGAGUUUGAUCAUGGCUCAGAUUGAACGCUGGCGGCAGGCCUAACACAUGCAAGUCGAACGGUAACAGGAAGAAGCUUGCUUCUUUGCUGACGAGUGGCGGACGGGUGAGUAAUGUCUGGGAAACUGCCUGAUGGAGGGGGAUAACUACUGGAAACGGUAGCUAAUACCGCAUAACGUCGCAAGACCAAAGAGGGGGACCUUCGGGCCUCUUGCCAUCGGAUGUGCCCAGAUGGGAUUAGCUAGUAGGUGGGGUAACGGCUCACCUAGGCGACGAUCCCUAGCUGGUCUGAGAGGAUGACCAGCCACACUGGAACUGAGACACGGUCCAGACUCCUACGGGAGGCAGGCAGUGGGGAAUAUUGGCACAAUGGGCGCAAGCCUGAUGCAGCCAUGCCGCGUG
rnacentral:rRNA from 1 species